GUUGAAUUGUGCAGCUGCUUGAAUCUUUUUAUCAGAGAUUCUUAAAAAAUGUUAUUUCUCUAAGAGAAAUUAUAUUGAUUCUUCUUUUGCCUUUAUUUUUUUAUUCAUAUAAAAAUAAACUUUUUAAUGUAAGAGUGUCUUAAGGCGUUUAUAUAGAAAGGGGACCUUAAUUCAGUAAAAGUGGGGUUCUUGACAUGUGAUAAAAUAAUAUUUCAGUGUGUGUUGGUAGAGGCACAGAGAUUUAUUUAGAAAAACAAGGGACACAUAUUCAAAAGAGAAUCUUAUCCAACUCAAAAGUGAGAGAAGCAUAGUGAGUGUUUCCAGCUCCUUUUUUCUUCUUUUUGUUUUGUUUUGUUUAUUUUUUGUGGCCAUCUUCUCUUUUAAAUAUGUUAUGUGCCAAGCUAUAUGGGCAAUAACCAAACAAACUCCAUUUUACUCUGAAACUCCAUGUUGUGUAAGAAAUGCUUCUCUGAUGAGAAAACCCCACCUCUAUACCCAUCAACAAUUGCUUAGCAUAGAAUAUUGGCAAUGCAAAAUGGUAAAAUUCUUCUUAUACACUGUAUUUGUGCAAUGUACCCUAACUACAUGGAGUGUCAAAGAAUGUUUGUCUAGACAUUAGUAACCAUUCUUUAACUUGUACUAAACAGGGGUCCUUUUGACCUACUUCCCCUUCUGCUUGUGAUUUUUGAUCUCAUGAUUUUUGUUUAUGGUUUGAGUCAUAGCAAAAAAAAAAUCACUAUUAUUAAUGCACUGACAUGGUUUACUUGAAGUUUUGCACUAUAAAAGAUUUGAUUGAACCCCUGGAGGGGAUUGUUGUAGCUGCCUCCUGUCCUGCCAGGUAGUGCCCCACUAGCUGUCAAAAAGGAUGGGUCUAUCUCCUGCUUUAAGAUUGACUUGGUGAUUUAUCAAAAUCCGAUGAUAACAAAAGGAACAUGUUUAGUGGUGAAUAUAUGAAAAGUUAUGUGAGACUGAUAUCAGUCUGGUAAUUCUCAGGAUCCUUAGGCUUGUGUGGUCUCCAUUAUCUAAUCCAUAAAAUAGCAUUGAAAAGUACCCUAAAUUGUAGGUGUCUUAAAAUACUAUAUAUCUCUCUCCUCAACCUAUUUAUUAAUGGGAUAACUGUGCAUAAGGUAAUUUUUGUAGGUGGGUAAACUUAUGGUACAAUUAAGCCGUACUGAGUUCCCAGAAAUUUGGGAGCGAUAGACCUGAAAGGUAUACCAACUCUUGAAUUGAUUGGCCUAGAAAAGGAUGCAGAACCUCACAUUAAAAUUACAUUUCCUGGGGCUGGAGUUAUGGCUCAGUGGUAGAGCACUUGCCUAGCACGUGUGAGGCACUGGGUUCAAUCCCUAGCACCACAUAUAAAUAAAUAAAUACAUAAAUAAAUAAGAAGAAAGUAUGAUUAUUAAUUGUGUUAUUGAGUUCUAUAGUUUCCUUA
rnacentral:lncRNA from 1 species